rnacentral:tRNA from 1 species
GCAGGUGUAAGCUGUAGGUCAGUAUCGGAACAGAAAAAAUCCGGUCGGCGGCUUAGUCCUUUCCCGCCUCACAGGUUCGAUUCCUGUCACCUGCACCA